UAGACGAUGUCGAUUUGGAGGUUGUGCCCUUGAGGCGUGGCUUCCGGAGCUAACGCGUUAAAUCGACCGCCUGGGGAGUACGGCCGCAAGGUUAAAACUCAAAUGAAUUGACGGGGGCCCGCACAAGCGGUGGAGCAAGUGGUUUAAUUCGGUGCAACGCGAAGAACCUUACCUGGUCUUGACAUCCACAGAACUUUCCAGAGAUGGAUUGGUGCCUUCGGGAACUGUGAGACAGGUGCUGCAUGGCUGUCGUCAGCUCGUGUUGUGAAAUGUUGGGUUAAGUCCCGCAACGAGCGCAACCCUUAUCCUUUGUUGCAAGCGGUUAGGCCGGGAACUCAAAGGAGACUGCCAGUGAUAAACUGGAGGAAGGUGGGGAUGACGUCAAGUCAUCAUGGCCCUUACGACCAGGGCUACACACGUGCUACAAUGGCGCAUACAAAGAGAAGCGACCUCGCGAGAGCAAGCGGACCUCAUAAAGUGCGUCGUAGUCCGGAUUGGAA
rnacentral:rRNA from 1 species